rnacentral:tRNA from 1 species
GGGCAAUUAGCUCAGCUGGUUAGAGCGCGCCGUUCACAUCGGCGAGGUCACAGGUUCAAGUCCUGUAUUGCCCA